CUGCGAGUCAAGGUUAAAAAACAUAUUUGCCACAGCCGGUCCACGGCAGAGGACGACAGGAUGGGGGAACGGGAUAAAGCAAUGGAAGAUGGAAGGGAGGAAGGAGGACAAAGAGGAAGGAGAAGAGAAAGGCUUCACGUUCACACCUAUGGACUCAAACACUGGAGGAAUUGAACCUCGAAAUGACAACCUGGCCCCUGCGGCGUGACUCGGGGAAGUUGAGACAGAUCCAGCUUUAUGCAAAUGACCUCUGACACAUGGGAUUGACUACCAAUUGUAAUAGUUUUGAUUCUCUCUAGAAACAGAAGCACAGUUGUUUUCUACUCAAACUCGACUUGACGUGACGUACCUUCUUCAAACAAAAUGGAGGCUACAGAUAGUGGGGAGCAGCAGCAGUGUCUCAUGGCUGCAGAAGCAGAGCAGCGGCAGCAGCCUGAUAUCAGCUCCUGUUGAGUCUGAUUACAACCAGCCAGAGAGGAGAAAAAACUAAUCAUGAAAAGAGAGAGAGAGUGUCAGACAGAAGGGAACGAAAUCCAACAGAAAGACAGUCUGGGAAUGUGUGUGAGCAUCAGAGAGAAAACAAAAGAGUGAGUGUCAUCAGCAAAGGGCGAAAAGGAACUGUAAAAGAGGAGGGAGAGAAAGACAAAAGACAGAAUCAAUCAGUGCACUUACAUGUACUUUAGUUAACUGUGUUACUAUCAGCUUUCUGCAGUAAUCUGAUUUCUUAAACAGUGUAAACAAAAAACCUGGUUUCCAUAAUUGGGGUAGGCGAUUAGAGAAACCUGAUUACUUCUGCUGGAGAACAGACUUCAGAUAGGGAAAGUAUCACUAUGACAGCAGAGCGACUAUCGUUACAUGUAGCGAAGUUUCAAAAUAAUUUAAUUCAAAGUCUGACUAAAAUAAGGUUGCGGAAAGGGGAGAAAUCUGAUUACUGACUGUUGCAUGUAUACCAUACAUGGUUUUUAUAGUUGGACACAAUAAACAAGUUACUCUAUAGCCCCACAGCCGUCUCACAGAUCCUGAGGCGUUCAUAAAAUUUGUUACAGGGAGAAAGUUGAAAAUACAAACUGCAAAUAAACACAAGGGGGAAGAAAAAAAAUACAAACUCACCAGAUGGUACGCAAUCUUCCUAGGAACUUGGACACAAGUAACAAAAAACAUGAUGAAAAGAAAGAAAAGGUCUAUUCCAAUAAAGUCAAUGCAAACCAUUUUAAAUCAAAGAUGACUCUAGAGUGCUCUGGAGUGCUCAGUGCAGAGGCUACAACUAGUGAUUAAAACAAUUUGGGCACCAGUGGCAGCACUGAGCGCUCUGCUGCAGAGCAGUACUCCAGUUGGUGAGCAAGAAAGAAAACCUGCACCAUAUUUGAUUUAACAAGGUUUGCAUUGACGCUAAAGGGAAAUACUUCUGUCUGUCAGCAUAAAUGUUUAUUGUUCCUUUACACUAGCUUGAAGUUUUUCAAAUAUAUAUUUUUGCCACUUGGGGGCAGCACAACAAGCUGUUAACAAAACACUGACAUAUUGAUACCUUAUUAAGUUAUUAUGGUGAAAGUGUUAGCACACAACUGCCUAGUUACAUAUCUACCAGAUACAGAGCAACAUUAGCAUUCAUUUGAAGUCAUGUCAAGUCUGAUAUUUA